rnacentral:ncRNA from 2 species
UGAAGUGAUAGAGGAGCAGUCUUCAUAAGUAGGCCGCGCGAGAAGGAUGAGAUUCAUUGACCGCGGCGGAAAGGGAAUCCUGCCGAAGUCGGAAUCGGUUCAUCUCGUUUCCGGGCUGGACCUGCAUUGAACAAAUGCAGGGCUGUCACACUUGCAAAAAGUGUGGAGAACUAUCUCAGCA